rnacentral:rRNA from 1 species
UACGAGGGGGGCGAGCGUUGGUCGGAAUUAUUGGGCGUAAAGGGUGCGUAGGCGGUUUGGUAAGUCUGAUGUGAAAUCUAUGGGCUCAACUCAUAGUCUGCAUCGGAAACUGCCGGGCUUGAGUGUGGGAGAGGUGAGUGGAAUUCCUGGUGUAGCGGUGAAAUGCGUAGAUAUCAGGAGGAACACCUGUGGCGAAAGCGGCUCACUGGACCAUAACUGACGCUGAUGCACGAAAGCUAGGGGAGCAAACAGG